rnacentral:rRNA from 2 species
UGCGGAAUUUUAGAUAAUGGAGGGAACUCUGAUCUAGCGACGCCGCGUGCAGGAAGAAGGUCUUCGGAUUGUAAACUGCUGUGGUAAGGGAAAAAUGCUAUGUAGAGUGGAAAGCUACAUAGAGGGAUGGUACCUUACUAGAAAGCCCCGGCUAACUACGUGCCAGCAGCCGCGGUAAUACGUAGGGGGCGAGCGUUACCCGGAAUCACUGGGCGUAAAGGGAGCGUAGGUGGCCUAACAUGUCAACUGUGAAAACCCGGAGCUCAACUCCGGACUUGCAGUUGAAACUGGUAGGCUUGAGGACGGUAGAGGAAGACGGAACUGCCAGUGUAGGGGUAAAAUCCUUAGAUAUUGGCAGGAACGCCGGUGACGAAGGUGGUUUUCUGGGCCGGUUCUGACACUGAUGCUCGAAAGCCAGGGGAGCGAACGGG